CGGCAAGCUACUGCAAGGGCAGGCCGACGAACGCUGACGACGGUCGAUUGCGGGGCGGCGCGCCCGGCCGCCGUUCGAUUCGCUGGUCCGCUUC
rnacentral:tRNA from 1 species